rnacentral:rRNA from 1 species
UGGGGAAUAUUGGACAAUGGGGGGAACCCUGAUCCAGCCAUGCCGCGUGUGUGAAGAAGGCCUUAUGGUUGUAAAGCACUUUAAGCGAGGAGGAGGCUACUGAGACUAAUACUCUUGGAUAGUGGACGUUACUCGCAGAAUAAGCACCGGCUAACUCUGUGCCAGCAGCCGCGGUAAUACAGAGGGUGCGAGCGUUAAUCGGAUUUACUGGGCGUAAAGCGUGCGUAGGCGGCUUUUUAAGUCGGAUGUGAAAUCCCCGAGCUUAACUUGGGAAUUGCAUUCGAUACUGGGAAGCUAGAGUAUGGGAGAGGAUGGUAGAAUUCCAGGUGUAGCGGUGAAAUGCGUAGAGAUCUGGAGGAAUACCGAUGGCGAAGGCAGCCAUCUGGCCUAAUACUGACGCUGAGGUACGAAAGCAUGGGGAGCAAACAGGAUUAGAUACCCCCGUAGUCC